UAGAUUGAAGCCCGCUGGAUUGGGUUAUUAGUUGUUAACUAAAGGUUUAUGGSAUCGAGGCCCGUCAAUCUAG
rnacentral:tRNA from 1 species